rnacentral:lncRNA from 1 species
CAACAUUGAACUCAGUAGCAAUAGUCAAGGCCAUUUUUUUCUAAAGUUUUUAGCAAGUUUAUAGCCAGAAUGAUGAAGAAGACACCAUUUUUAUAAAUACCUGAAAGCUGGUGAUGUAAAAGCUAACAAAUAAUCAGUAUUCACUAAUUGCAUACAAAUGAUGGUUUAGAAAAGCACAAAAAAUAAGACCACAAAGCCAUCAAUUUUUCAUAGAGACGUUUUCUCAAACACUUUGAGUGCUCUUACUUUCACAAUCAAAUGAGAGUUUUCAAAUACAAUCAAAGCUAGGUAAAUGAAAAGAAAAAUGAAAUAUGGAAAUGAACAUUGAAGAAAUUGCAGAAGUAUAGUAAAUAGCUAUGAAAAUAUACCUUUAAACUCCAUUUCUCUUAACAGCAGCAACAAAACCAAGAGGAAAACCUGGAAGUACAAAAAAGUAACAGAAAAAUGCAAAAAUUAGAAAUAAAAAUUGAAAUAAAAAAAACAAAUUAAGAAAAACUAUAAAAUAGUGCGAAAAGAGAUCGAGACCUGUAGACAGGAGAUUGAAAAAAAUGAGGGAUUUCAAAAAGGGAAGAAAAAUGGAGCUCAUCAAGCUUUGGAGUAUAGAGAGAGAGAUGAGAGUUUGAAAUUUGAAAUUGAGAAUUGGUUUUUGAAAGUGGCUGAAUGUGUACUUCAUAUCCAUUAUAUGCAUAAUUGUUUUUGUCCAACACAGAUGAUAAUUUGUCCUAUGGUUAAAAUUUUGUUUCUGUUUGACUCCUUUUUUUGGUCUGACGGUCAGAUUUUGGUUGUUUUGCACAUGAGUGAAAGUGACGGGUCCUCCUUAUUAGCUUCAGCCCUCCAAAAGGGAAAUUCAAACAUUUGAAUUUUACUUCCAAUUCAAGCAAUCAAAUUGGCAAAGACAAAAGUCGCUCUUUUAUUUUCUUCAAAAGUUUGAUGGCUUUGUGGUAAUUAAUGCAUUCAAGUAAAAACCAUAUUUUAAAAAAUGAGAUUAUUUUGAAAAGUCCUAAACUACACAACAAAGCCUUUCUUUUAUAGACUAAUAAUCAUUUAGUUCUAAUGACAUAUACAACUAUACAAUGUAACACAUUAAAAAACUCUAAUUAAAACCUUAAAUCAAAAUAAUACAUAGUAAAUAAGCUUACCUAAUAUACUGAUCAUGAGGCAUGUAAAGUUCAUUGAGAGGAUCGAAGUAGCCAAAUGGUAUACAAAAGCAAAAGAAAAAUUGAAGUUAGAGUUUGGAAGAGAAAAAACAAAAAAAGAAUGCUAAGAAAGCUAAUAGACCUAGUUUAUCCUCAUUAACCAUGUCAUUAUCUUUUUGUUUGCUACUUCAUUGUCAUUGCUAACUUAUUAGAAGAAUUAACCAUGUCAUUAUCUUUUUGUUUGCUAUUUCCCUGUCAUUGCUAACUUGUUAGAAGAAAGUAUUGGAGNNNNNNNNNNNNNNNNNNNNNNNNNNNNNNNNNNNNNNNNNNNNNNNNNNNNNNCUGAAUAACACUUUUCCAUUGGUAUGAAGAUGCCUCGGACAUGGUAAGCAAAAGUCUGAAGCUAUUCCCUUGUCAGAACCACGUAUAGCUUCUGCCGAAAUAAGGAUUAGAAAAUUGAGGAUUAAAAGAAAGAAACUCAAAUUAAUUUUUACCAGAAAAGAAGUCACAAACAAAAACACAGACAUGCAGCAACAUAAUAUAUACAUGAAGCUAUACAUGUGCAUAGAUGACAAUUUUUCAUCAAUGAAGAAUUGAACAAAAGCCUUGAAAUAGCAAUUUGUCUUUAAAACUGAAAACGAAAAAGAAUCAAAGAAAAAUUUAAUUGCAAAAAGAAACUACCUAGAAAAGAAAUUUUCACCUAGCUUCCUUCCAAUUUUUUCCUGUUGUGGAUGAACAAAACAGAGAGAAAGAGAACAAUAACUGAGAAAAAAAAUAGAAAUCAAGCGAGAAUAAAAGCAAGAAAGUGAAAAUUAUUUUCUAUCUCUCUCACCUGACUGUGUUGCGAUUCCUCCGCUAGGUUUUGAGGAAUGAAAAUUUUACCUCCUCGUGAGAGUAUCUGCAAAACCACAUAGAAAGAAAGAUUAGAAAAAUAGGGAUUAAAAACAGGUUGAAGCAAAUUAAGGAUUUCGAAAAGAAAUUGAAGAAAGAAGAAGGAAUGGUGAAAUUAGUA